UAGAGACAGAAGUGGGAACAGGUUUUGACCUCCUCUGCAUGUGGCAGGGAGUCUAUGAAAUUCCUCUCUCAAAGCUAUAGAGCAAUUUAGCUUGUUCAGAGCUAGCGUUCUGGAAAGUUCUGAAGUCUAUGAUGUUCUGAUAACAAUUUUCAUUUGAUAAUUCCUCAGACAACCAACUCACUCACUACAUUUGAGUUCCCUGGAGCAAUUUCAAAUAUAGCUACAUCUUUUCUUGGAGGCUUUCUCCUCCAAAAUCAAUAUCUAUACCCAUGAGUGCUCGAACUCAUGACCUCCAAAUCAAGAGCCAGAUGCUCUACUGACUAAGCCAGCCAGGUAUCCCAAUAACUCUGACCUCUGAGCUCAAUAUGCCCCUAAGCAGCAGUAUUUUGGACAGCUAUGGAAAUCUAAAGAGUGACAAUCACAAAUGAGGGCUAUUACCGAGUGGGUCAGGUUUGCCCAAUGAAUCAGAAGAAACUUCAAACUAGAGGUUAUUUCUGGUUUUCGUUAUUCUGCUCAUUUCCUUGUGCAAAAAUAUUUUAGAGCCAAAAUUUAUAUUGAACCUCAUAUGAACUGCUCUAAUAUGUAAAUGAAAAGCAAAAAAAAAAAAGUAGAUUUCACUUAAGCAUGCAGAAAUGGGAACUGAAUUUUUAAAACCUGGUUUUAAAAAUUUCAAAUGAAAUCUUUGUUUGCUUA